GCCCAGGUGGUGAAAUCGGUAGUCACAAGGGAUUUAAAAUCCCUCGGCCUUUAGGCUGUGCGGGUUCAAGUCCCGCCCUGGGCACCA
rnacentral:tRNA from 1 species